rnacentral:rRNA from 1 species
UGGGCGAUGAAGGCUCUAGGGUCGUAAAGCCCUGUUGAUAGGGACGAAGGGCGAAGGGUUAAUAGCCCCUAGCUUGACGGUACCUUUCGAGGAAGCCCCGGCUAACUACGUGCCAGCAGCCGCGGUAAUACGUAGGGGGCGAGCGUUGUCCGGAAUUAUUGGGCGUAAAGAGCGUGUAGGCGGUUCGGUAAGUCUACUGUGAAAUCCUGGGGCUC